rnacentral:tRNA from 1 species
GCCUUCGUGGUGUAGUGGUCUGCAUGCUCGACGCGUAUUUGAGAGGUCCGCGGUUCGAUUCCCGGUGAAGGCU